rnacentral:lncRNA from 1 species
GCAGUGAGCCCGGGCCAGCGCUGGCUCGCGCGCUCGGACAGCCGUCAGCACGUCUAAUCCAGGGCACUUCCUCUCCCGAGAGGCUCCGGGCCCAGAGCCGCCACCGCCACCCCCAGCCCCAGCCUGCUUUCCGCUUCCGCGGCUUUGCCUGUUCUGGACGAUUCUUGGCAGUGGAAUCCCACAGCCGUGGUCUCCGGCGUCUGGGCUCAUUCACUGAGCAGGAGGCUUGAGGGCGCACCCCCACGGUGGCACGUGUCAGAGUGUCGUCCUUUUUGUGACUGAGUAACGCGGACUGCAGCACAUUCGGGUUUUGUUCAGCAUUUGGUGGACCCUCGGGGGUCGUUUGCUGCUGUUUGGCUGCUGUGAACCACGCUCUGCACAGCCUGUGGUGUAGACAUGUGUGUGUUCCUGGGAGCAGGGCGCUGGGGCCGGGCACAGCCGCGGGGCCCAGCGGAGGAGGGUGGAAGCCGUGUGGCUUCCAGUUUUACGUGUCCCUUCGCCCGGGGGUCUUUCUCUCCCAGAAUGAAAUUGUAAGUAAGUCAGGCGCGCGUCUUGAUCUCUGAAAAUUCUCAGAUGGCGGAGGGGGUGGAAGGGAGUGUACAUCCAGACCUCGCCGAGGCCCUGUUCGCCUUGUCCGGACGCACCUGCGCUCAGGCAGGGGUUUACUCUCACGGGAGCAGCUCGCAGCGCGUCGGGCCCAUCGGUGCCUAAAAGGUCCGGGAGCCCCUGGCCGAGGGGAGGCCUCACCCCGCGAGGCCGGCCCCAACAUCUCAUCUGUCGUAGCUCGUGUUUCUAAGAAAGGCCACCUGGAGCCCUGUGGCCUUGUGGUCUGGCCUGGCGGCCGAGCACGAAGCCUGAGCCCCAGUUCCGUGUCCCGGUGGCUCCGCGUCCCGGCGGCUCUGCGUCCCGGCGGCUCUGCAUCCCGGCGGCGUUGGAGCUUGCCCGCGCUCCGGAGCUCAGGGCUGCGCUGUGUUCUUGCUGCUUUGACUGUGAGCUGAACACGUGCCUGGAGGAGGCGGGCGGGCCCCAGGCGCCUGGUGGCAGCACUGGGUCUCAAGGCCCCUCCGGGCGAUCUGGGGAGGUCACCCCCCGCCCGCUGGGCACUCACCCUCUAACGGGGCGAGGCCUCUGAUCUCGGGGCCGGUCAGGCCACAGCGCCUGGACCCCGGGUUCUUGGGAACUGGCCUCGAGCUGGGGCCAUGACUUGUUGGGAAGUCUCCACCGGCUCUUCCGGGGGCUGCAGGGGCUUGGGGGGCUUGCGUGGUGUGCGAGUGGGGACCCACACCGUGUCCGGAAGCCCAGUGACAGCAGCGAGAAGCGGCCUGGGGGCCGGGCCGGAGCCUGGGGCGAGGGUGCCCAUCCAUGGAGAGCUUGCUGGGCGCGGUGGUCGCCAGGGUGAGGGCGCGUCCCGCCCAGAGUGAUCGUCCCGUCGGAAGGGCACCCCCGAGGACCGUCCGGAAGAGCCCUUUUGGACCCAUGGGGGACGUUGUCCCCGGAGCUGGGGGUCAGAGGGCACGGCAGACGGUGGUGAGGCCGUCGGGGAGGAGCCGGGCUGGAACCUUCGUCCGAGCCCUGUGGACCAGCGCUGCUGCCUGGACGUGGAGUUUCUUUCCCGAAGCCCCCUUUCGUGCAGCCGCAACGAGUACGGUGCACUCCUCAGGUGCGAGCCGGGGUCACGAGCCUGCUAACCGUGGGCCGUUUGCACCGUGCAUGUCGUGAGCUCGGGAGGGAGCAAACAGGCCCGAGGGCCAGAGCCCUGCCGUCAGGGGAGGCAGCAGGCGGGAGCUGGCCUCCGGGCUGCGGGCAUGGGUGUACUCGGGUCCCUGCUCCUCCAGAUGGGGCCCUGUCUCAGCUCCGCCUUGGGUCCCCACUGUCCUCCUGACCCCUUUCCGGAGGGCAGCGGGGCUCGGGGGGUACAGCAGGGGGGCCCGGGCCACACCACAGACGCCUCCUCUCAGCAACGCAGGCGGCCUGGGAGCUGCGGCGAGGCCCCCGGCUUCUCGUUGGACCCGGGCUGGGCACGUCCAUUGGGGGUGGUCCGAGGCCCCCAGGAAGAGCCUUUUCCCUGUCAUCACUCUGCAUGGGCGCACGGGGCCUCCUGGGCAGGAAGGGUUCUGGAACCCUCUGCGUGGGGUUUGGCUUCUGCACGCUGGUUGGCGCGUUGGUCGUCAGGACGGGCUCGCGUAGGUUUGAUCCUUCGGGGGGUGACCUGCCCUUGUUUGGCUCACACUGUGCGUCUUCGGCGGCGGGAGCUCCCCGUAGGCGCCCGUGUCCCUCUGCCCACCCGCUCCCUGGCACCUCCCUCCUUUCUGCUGCCAGGAGACACUCCAGACCCAUCCUGGGGACUCCCCGCCCCACCCCGGCCGUUCCUCUGGGGGGGCCUGGCUCCUUUACCAGACCGUGGUCUGGGAGCCCACAUCUGGGCGCUCGGCUCUCCUGGCCUCUGGCCUCUCGGGAGACAGCCCGGGACAUGGGGGUCCCCACCCGUGUUAACGGAUGCGCCCCCGAGCACUCCUGGGUGUGUCUACCUCCAUCUGUACCUUACUGACCGGGGUUCCUGCUCACGUGUGGUUGAAUGCCUUGCUCCGGCUUGUUUUGAGUUAAGGAACAAGUCUCCAAAAAAAAAAAAAA